GCCUGAUAUGUUGUGAAGCCCAAAUGCAAGCAAUGUGAGAGGAGAGAGAUUCAGUUUCAAGCCAAACUUCUCACAUUCAGAACUAAAUCAUUCCUCUUAAACCUUGGUCGGAGAAAAGAAUCUCCUCCGCGCCGGAAAUCGCCUCUGGCAGCGGCGGAGGGCCAAACACGUCAACCUUUAUAUCAAUCCCACAGUUUCAAUGUCCUCAACCUAAACCCAUCAUCAAUUCCCUCUGAUUCCUAACCAACAACCCAAAUCGAACCUAAAACCCAUAAGAACCCUAAACGGAUGUUCAUAAAUUAGAUUCCAUCAUGGAGGAAUCAAAGCCUAAUUCAUUAGAGCUUUGAUUCCUCAGGCUCCGAAUCACAUGAUGGUAACAAGAAUUAGGGAAAAGAUGAAUAAAUCCUACCUCUGCAGACGAAGAGCUUCUGAGUUCAAAGGUGGAAUGAGCAGACGGAUCCAUAAAUCUUCAGAAAUUCUUCAAUUCAGGCUGAUGUUGUUUGGAGUUUGAUCAUGAUCUCAAAAUGCUUGAAACUACCAUGAAGGUCCAUGGUGAUAGCUUGAAGAAUCAUAGCCUGCUUGCACAUGAAGAAAGUUUAGCCAUGAAGUCAAAAGAGGAUAUGGGCACAUGAAGAAUCAAAGUGAAAAUAGGAUUAGGACUAGGGAUUAGGUCAGUUGACUUUGGUUAAUUGAUUGACCAAAAAGUCAAUAGUUGACCAAAGUCAAUUAUAGGUCAAAGUCAAUUUUUUGUAUGAAUCUUGUAAUUGGUACUUGUAAAUGAAAUGUACAAUUUUGAAUGGAAAUAGUUGCUUUUGAUUCAA